GUCUGUUUCGCUCUGUAUGUCUGAAAACAGAGAUGAGAACCAGUGUCAAAGCAGGACCAAGACGAGGAUGGCCUUGGCUAAACCACACACUCUCAGGUUCUUCAGCUGCAACUUCUGAAAGAGGAAACAUAACUUCACUGGUUUCACGGAGCGUCCAAGACA